GCUGUGUAUGGAAGGCAAAAUUAUUCUUCAGAGUAAAUCUGGCUGGUGUUUUAUUUGCUUGUAGAUGUCUUCAUAAUAGUAAUGCCUAAAAGGAUGCUUUUAGGAAACUGCCUGUGUAGACCCUCAGCCAGUUCACUGUGCUCAGCUGUAUUUGAUCCAGUGCUAUGAUCUGUUUGCUGUAGCACUUUCAGUUCUCUCUGCCCUUUUUUUUCCCUCCUCUAUUGUGUCUAUUGUGUUUUGAGGCAGCCCAGAUUGUAAACUAGAAGAAAGGGAUGACCUAAGCUAAAGGAGGCCCUGGGACUGAGGGUGUGUAAUAAUAUCAGAGUAUAAAUGAUAAUUACAUUAUUAAUAUUAUUAUUAAUAUUAGCUUUAACUUUUCAGUGUAUCCUGGAUCCAUAACAAAGCACAUGAAGAAUGUGCUUUUUGUGCAGAUUGUUUUUUUUUUACCUGACUGAAGCCUAGAAGACUUCUGCCAGGCUUUUAAAGUGUGAGUCAGUCUUGUGAAACAUUUCUGCAUCCCACAAUUUCUCCAUGAACCCUGGAGCAGAGGAUGGUGCUUGCUCUGCAGGCUGAGUGUUCUCCCAUUUCCAAGGUGCAGUCUGGGACUCGUCCUCAUGCUGAGCCUGGUGCUGUGUUUGCCCUGGGCUGCACCAACACUGCUCUGCCCACUGGAUCUGUAAAGCAGCAUCUGCUCCCCCACAUCUCUGCAGACUCAUUGAUUUAGAUGUGGCUGAACAGGCUGACAGCCAUGAGAAAAAAAAUAUAAAUAAACAUUUGCAAACAUA